ACAGGGGCUUUAUUAAAAGCCACUUUGAUAUCUUCAAAAAAUUCUU
rfam:Picea glauca, whole genome shotgun sequence.